rnacentral:rRNA from 1 species
AUGCAGUCGAGCGGUACAGAAAGUAGCUUGCUACUUUGCUGACGAGCGGCGGACGGGUGAGUAAUGCUUGGGAACAUGCCUUGAGGUGGGGGACAACAGUUGGAAACGACUGCUAAUACCGCAUAAUGUCUACGGACCAAAGGGGGCUUCGGCUCUCGCCUUUAGAUUGGCCCAAGUGGGAUUAGCUAGUUGGUGAGGUAAUGGCUCACCAAGGCGACGAUCCCUAGCUGGUUUGAGAGGAUGAUCAGCCACACUGGGACUGAGACACGGCCCAGACUCCUACGGGAGGCAGCAGUGGGGAAUAUUGCACAAUGGGCGCAAGCCUGAUGCAGCCAUGCCGCGUGUGUGAAGAAGGCCUUCGGGUUGUAAAGCACUUUCAGUCAGGAGGAAAGGUUAGUAGUUAAUACCUGCUAGCUGUGACGUUACUGACAGAAGAAGCACCGGCUAACUCCGUGCCAGCAGCCGCGGUAAUACGGAGGGUGCGAGCGUUAAUCGGAAUUACUGGGCGUAAAGCGUACGCAGGCGGUUUGUUAAGCGAGAUGUGAAAGCCCCGGGCUCAACCUGGGAACUGCAUUUCGAACUGGCAAACUAGAGUGUGAUAGAGGGUGGUAGAAUUUCANGUGUAGCGGUGAAAUGCGUANAGAUCUGAANGAAUACCGAUGGCGAANGCAGCCACCUGGGUCAACACUGACGCUCAUGUACNAAAGCGUGGGGAGCAAACANGAUUAGAUACCCUGGUANUCCACGCCGUAAACGAUGUCUACUANAANCUCGGAACCUCCGUUCUGUUUUUCAAANCUAACGCA